rnacentral:rRNA from 1 species
GACGAACGCUGGCGGCAGGCUUAACACAUGCAAGUCGAGCGCCCCGCAAGGGGAGCGGCAGACGGGUGAGUAACGCGUGGGAACGGACCCAUAUCUGCGGGAUAGCUCCGGGAAACUGGAAUUAAUACCGAACGGGGCCUAUGGGGGAAAGGGUUUUCGGAUAAGGAUCGGCCCGCGUGGGAUUAGCGGGUUGGGGGGGUAAAGGCCUGCCAAGGCGGCGAGCCAUGGCUGGUGUGAGAGGAUGACCAGCCACAGUGGGACUGCGACACGGCCCCAACUCCUACGCGAGGCUGCAGUGGGGUAUAUUGUACAAUGGGCGCAAGCCUGAUCCAGCCAUGCCGCGUGAGUGAUGAAGGCCUUAGGGUUGUAAAGCUCUUUCACCGGAGAAGAUAAUGACGGUAUCCGGAGAAGAAGCCCCGGCUAACUUCGUG